AAAGAAUCAGAAAAAAAAUUAAAAGGAAAGAGAGAGAGCACGGGUAGAACCCGAGUCACCCCCCUCCCAUUUUCUUUUUUCUUCUUCCGUCGCUGCUCUUCCCUUCUCCGGCGAAUUCGUCGCCGUCCGGCCACCCCAAGACGCAUCGUUGGGCACGGCGUGAUCCUCUCUUCCUUCUCCUUCUAGCUAUCUUGUUUUGGGCUGUGGAGGAAGAAUUGAAGGUGUUUGGGGACGUGAACAGUAGCGUGAACAGUUCCAUCCGAGUUCUUGAGUUUGGGUUUGGAAUUUCCAGCUUUUUCUGCUUGUUUUGGAUGUGAUUGCAGGACGUACUGAGCCCUCGAGCGAGGAGGACACAGGCAGGCAGCAGGGUUAGCUGCGAGACUC